AUGGUGAACAAAAUACCGCCUGUGUUUGAGAAUGGAUAUUUGCACUGGUUGAUCAAUCCUUCUCUUAUCAUCAGAAGGCCAAGAGCUGCUAUCAUAUCCUUUUCUGUUGCAGAGGAAACCUUCGGAUGUGUCCGAUCACCGCCGUUCUGGGGACCUGGAGAGAACCUGCGCUCCUGGUCCCAGUCAGAACGAGAGCACCUGGUUGUGAUGGAUGACCAGCUGUGCAUUGUCCGGGACCUUCGCAACAGAACCCCUGAUGGUAGCACCUUGGAGAUUUGGGGACUGCUGGAUUAUGGCUCUGGUGAUUGGUCCCUGAAACAUCGAAUUGAUUUGUUUGCGCAAGUCGGAAGAGAAUUAGGUGAGCCAAAGGUUGUGAGGGUUAUUGGUUCUGUCGGCAAUGGCACUUUGGGGAAGAAGAUUGUCAUUGCUACUAGCGAGUGUUGGGUUGAUGAGAAGUUUCAGAAGAAGGUUUACACCUAUGAUCCUAGGUGUCAAGUUCUGGAGGCCAUUCUUUCGGUCAUCGAGACACACACCCGGCUUACGCGUUUGAUCCCUGGUUCAAGGUUUAGCCUGUUUGAAGAGAGCCUUGCUCCUGUUUGA
rnacentral:rRNA from 1 species